GACGAACGCUGGCGGCGUGCUUAACACAUGCAAGUCGAACGGAAAGGCCCUGCUUUUGUGGGGUGCUCGAGUGGCGAACGGGUGAGUAACACGUGAGUAACCUGCCCUUGACUUUGGGAUAACUUCAGGAAACUGGGGCUAAUACCGGAUAGGAGCUCCUGCUGCAUGGUGGGGGUUGGAAAGUGUCGGCGGGUGGGGAUGGACUCGCGGCUUAUCAGCUUGUUGGUGGGGUAGUGGCUUACCAAGGCUUUGACGGGUAGCCGGCCUGAGAGGGUGACCGGCCUCAUUGGGCCUGAGAUACGGCCCAGACUCCUAUGGGAGGCAGCAGUGGGGAAUAUUGCACAAUGGGCGGAAGCCUGAUGCAGCAACGCCGCGUGCGGGAUGACGGCCUUCGGGUUGUAAACCGCUUUCGCCUGUGACGAAGCGUGAGUGACGGUAAUGGGUAAAGAGGCACCGGCUAACUACGUG
rnacentral:rRNA from 1 species